rnacentral:rRNA from 1 species
AUGACUCCAAACAAGUCAACCGGCUUCACACCUUUCUUCCUCGUCUACGGUGCUGAAGCCGUCAUCCCGACAGACAUAGAAUUCGACUCCCCGCGAGUCACCAUGUACACCGAGGAGGAAGCAGAAGAAGCACGUCAAGACGGUGUCGAUCUGCUGGAAGAGGGCCGGUUGUUGGCACUCAGCCGGUCCAGCAUCUACCAGCAGAGCCUGCGCCGAUACUACAAUAGGAAGGUCAGGCCGAGAUCUUUCCAAGAGGGCGACCUUGUGCUCCGACUGAUCCAGCGAACAGCCGUCCAGCACAAGCUGUCGGCACCUUGGGAAGGCCCCUUCAUUAUUAGCAAAGUGCUGGGCAACGACUCCUACUACCUGAUCGACGCUCAGAAGCCCCGAGCAUGCAAGAGAGACGACUCCAGCAAAGAGACGGAACGCCCAUGGAAUGCAAAUCUUCUCCGAAGAUUUUAUAGUUGA